GUGUCAGCCGCCGCGGUAAUACGUAGGUGGCAAGCGUUGUCCGGAUUUAUUGGGUUUAAAGGGUGCGUAGGUGGUUCCAUAAGUCAGUGGUGAAAUACGGCAGCUUAACUGUCGAGGUGCCAUUGAUACUGCGGAACUUGAGUACAGACGAGGUAGGCGGAAUUGACGGUGUAGCGGUGAAAUGCUUAGAUAUCGUCAAGAACACCGAUAGCGAAGGCAGCUUACUAGACUGUAACUGACACUGAGGCACGAAAGUGUGGGGAUCAAACAGGAUUAGAUACCCGCGUAGUCC
rnacentral:rRNA from 1 species